rnacentral:rRNA from 1 species
AGCGAACGCUGGCGGCAGGCCUAACACAUGCAAGUCGAGCGCCGUAGCAAUACGGAGCGGCAGACGGGAGAGUAACACGUGGGAACGUACCCUUCGGUUCGGAACAACCCAGGGAAACUUGGGCUAAUACCGGAUACGUCCGAAAGGAGAAAGAUUUAUCGCCGAAGGAUCGGCCCGCGUCUGAUUAGCUAGUUGGUGAGGUAAUGGCUCACCAAGGCGACGAUCAGUAGCUGGUCUGAGAGGAUGAUCAGCCUCACUGGGACUGAGACACGGCCCAGACUCCUACGGGAGGCAGCAGUGGGGAAUAUUGGACAAUGGGCGCAAGCCUGAUCCAGCCAUGCCGCGUGGGUGAUGAAGGCCCUAGGGUUGUAAAGCCCUUUCGGCGGGGAAGAUAAUGACGGUACCCGCAGAAGAAGCCCCGGCUAACUUCGUGCCAGCCGCCGCGGUAAAAC